UUCGUAUGUGAGGGAAUCUUGCUGGGAGUGAAGGCAGUGCGAUAUGAGAGACACUUCCUGUUUUUAAAGGUAAACUUUAAGCUUCAUUCCCUUUAAAGCAGAGUUUUCGUGAGGUAAUCUUUCUUAUGCUGGGAAUGAAGGAAGUGCGUAUGAUCACUUAAUAUGAAAGACACGUUUUUAAAGGUGGAUCAUGAGUGAAGCUCUAUAGGUUGGCCAUUGACUUGAUAACAGUGGUUUAUGUUUAUUCAAUUUAUGAAUAAAUCUCUCGCCAACCAUUCACCUAUUUACUGACAAAACAGAUCCAAAUCUUGUAUGAUGAUGACUACUGCAAGGUGAUGGGAGUCUGUGGUAAUCAUAACCUGUGUCUCAAGAUCAACAUGACAAUAGCAGACCAUCUCUUAUCUUACUCUUAUCUGACUAAAUGUUCAACUUCAUUGCCACAAAACAAAGAACAUUGGAUGGAGUAUGUACUGUACAAUGAUCCAGCAAACAAAAUAAUAUGGACUUUUUUUGGCGAGAUUCUACAAACAUUGACACAAUCCUAUUGACUUUUAUAUUUACAUUAAUCUGUAUUAUGCCAUUUAUCUGUUUGUGCUAAAGUGCUUACAUCUGAAUGUAAUGUCAUAAUAUGUUAAUAUUCAGUAUUUAUUAUCAUUUGCAUGUUUUGAUGUCGCAUAUGUCAUGAUUUUAUAGAUUUCAUGUUAUUGUUGUCUAUUUAGAAUGAUUGUCUAUGCCAAAUUUUAUUGUUCAUUUAUUUAAUUUUGAAGCUAUCA